rnacentral:rRNA from 1 species
CAGCCGCCGCGGUAAUACGUAGGGUGCAAGCGUUAAUCGGAAUUACUGGGCGUAAAGCGUGCGCAGGCGGUUAUAUAAGACAGAUGUGAAAUCCCCGGGCUGAACCUGGGAACUGCAUUUGUGACUGUAUAGCUAGAGUACGGCAGAGGGGGAUGGAAUUCCGCGUGUAGCAGUGAAAUGCGUAGAUAUGCGGAGGAACACCGAUGGCGAAGGCAAUCCCCUGGGCCUGUACUGACGCUCAUGCACGAAAGCGUGGGGAGCAAACAGGAUUAGAUACCCGUGUAGUCCCUGUCUCUUAUAC